rnacentral:lncRNA from 1 species
GUAGGAAAGAUCUUGGAAUAAUCUUUCCAACGCCGCCGAGUUUACUCAAUUUCGAGUUCGUAUGAGUGAGAUAUCCCCAUUUGAAGUUGGGCUAUUCAAAUAAGGAAAGUCUAAUCCGGAUUUUAAAAGGCAUUAUGGUCUUUUCCAUACCCCAUGACUUAAUUUCGUUUUUUGGUAAUCAAAGUGGGGUCUAAACUGAUAGGAUUCAGUUUACGCUUUUACAAUAUUGAGU